UCGAUUCCCUUAGUAGCGGCGAGCGAAACGGGAAGAGCCCAAACCAACAAGCUUGCUUGUUGGGGUUGUAGGACACUCUAUACGGAGUUACAAAGGACGACAUUAGACGAAUCAUCUGGAAAGAUGAAUCAAAGAAGGUAAUAAUCCUGUAGUCGAAAAUGUUGUCUCUCUUGAGUGGAUCCUGAGUACGACGGAGCACGUGAAAUUCCGUCGGAAUCUGGGAGGACCAUCUCCUAAGGCUAAAUACUCUCUAGUGACCGAUAGUGAACCAGUACCGUGAGGGAAAGGUGAAAAGCACCCCGGAAGGGGAGUGAAAUAGAACCUGAAACCGUGUGCUUACAAGUAGUCAGAGCCCGUUAAUGGGUGAUGGCGUGCCUUUUGUAGAAUGAACCGGCGAGUUACGAUUUGAUGCAAGGUUAAGCAGUAAAUGUGGAGCCGUAGCGAAAGCGAGUCUGAAUAGGGCGUUUAGUAUUUGGUCGUAGACCCG
rnacentral:rRNA from 1 species